rnacentral:misc_RNA from 1 species
UUUCCGUAGGUGAACCUGCGGAAGGAUCAUUACUGUAUAACCGAGGAGCGAGGGCUAUCGCUGACCCGACACGCAGUGCACGCCCGAGCGCCCUCACACCCUUCCAUCUCACCCCGCUGGCCCCCACCGCGCGCGUCCCCCUUUGGCCUGUUCGGGGGGGGGCUUACGUGUCCACCGAAGCUUUCUUUGCAGUGUAGAAUGUAGUUUUUGUCUUUGCGAUAACGCAAUCAAAACAACUUUCAACAACGGAUCUCUUGGCUCUG